UUCAAUGGGCGGGCGCAGGCAGGGGAGCCUCCGGGCUCGCCGGCUCCUAAUCCCCGGUCUGCUAACCCUGCCUUGCGCCCGCCCACCCCA
rnacentral:antisense_RNA from 1 species